GAUAGUGUUGGUUUAUUUUUGGACGCUGAAUCAAAUGAGAUUAGGGCGCAAAAUAAAGAAAAUAGUAGAACAUUGCGAAAUGAAAGCAAUAUACAUAAACUAUCUGACGCGGCAUUCAAGACAAAUUUCGCCUGAAUAAUAAUGCGUUUGCUUUUGUUUUGGAGCAGAUUCAACACAAAUACAAAACAAGUCAUCGGUCUGAUUGUGUCACUGCGGAACAUAAAUUAGCAGCUUGCCUCAGAUUUUUUGCCGAGGGAAACUACCAACAUGGUGUUGGAAAAGAUUUUCGAUGUUCAGUUGGCCAGUCGACUUUUUCCAGUAUUUUAAAGGAAACUUUAGAUAUAAUGGAAGAGACCUUGUGCAGCAACUGGAUAUCUUUACAGAUGUCUGAUGAAGAAUGUCAACUGUCCAAAACAUAUUUCUUCGAAAAAAACUGGUUUUCCUGGAGUGAUUGGUUGUGUCGAUGGUACUCACGUUCAAAUCAUUGCACCAGUAGAAAACAAAUAUUUAUGUUUUAAUCGCAAGUUAGUUAGUUUGUUAGUUUUGCCUAUAAAGUACUACUUUAAAAUUAUUUUUAUUUUAGAUUUGCGACUACAAAAUGAGAAUAAGAGUCGUUAAUGCUAACUACCAGGGAGCAAACCACGACUCUCGUGUUUGGGCUUUGAGUCCUGAACGACGGUAUUUCGAAAGAAAUCAUUUAAGUACAAGAAAUAGCUGGUUGCUAGAUAAACAUUUUUUUGACAACAAUACCGACCAUCUGAAUUUGUUUCUUUUUGAAGGUGAUUCAGGAUAUCCAUUGGAGCCCUGGCUUAUGACAUCAUUCAGGACUCCUAAACCGCAGAGCCGUUUUAAUAUAUGUCACAGAAGAGCUGGUAACAUAGUUGAACGUUCAAUAGGAUUAUCGAAAAGCAGAUUUCGUUGCUUGUUAGGUGCAAGACAGUUACACUAUGCACCUUUGAUUCAAGUUAUGAAAUUUUCGAGCAUGAAGAUUUAAACAAUACGGAAGAAGAAAUUCAUGAAAUUCAGACUAAUUUGCUUCGAAGCCAAGCAGCUACAAUUCGAAAUGAAAUAGUUCAACUCAACUUUGAUGCAUAAACAUUUAUUAAAAAUAAAUUUAUAUAUUUGAAAACAAAAAUAUCACAAGCCUUCAUGGUGUUUGUCUUUGGUUUUAAAAAAGAAAACACUUUCCGCAACAAGAACUUGUCGGAGGACUUCGGAAAAUUGUAUGUUUGUAUCUGCCAAGAAUAAAACAAAACAAGUGCUUCAUCGCAAAGCAUGGCAUGCAAAUUGCAUGCGUUGAGUUUUGUCGGAGAGAAUGUCCGAUCAGCUGAUCGGACAACUACCUUGAAGCAAAAUGUCUCCGAUUCGGAGAGAAGAGAGGAGGGCCGAUUAAAUUGGCUUAGUCCACAUGAGAAAAGACCGUCAAUUGUCAAGAAUUCGUUGGUAGAGGACAUGUUAAUAGGAGAUAGAUAGUUCUCAUGUGUCUGUUUAGUCCAGAUCAAGUUUGGAAGAUUGAAAUCUCCUAAGACUAGUAACUCGUCUUGUGGCUCAAUUUGAUAGUUUAUUUUGUUUAUGCAAUUAAUUAAGUUUUCAUAAAC